rnacentral:lncRNA from 1 species
CACGUGCUUUCUAGAAACCCUUUGCAGAAAAAGCAUUUUCUUUUUCCAAUUUAAGACCUUUGAAUAUAUAAAACCUUGAAAUAAGGUUAUGAGGCCCAUUAAAACCCUGAUUCUUAAGUUUGGAGAAACCCAGAUGUUGUCGAUGCCAUUUUUUAAUUAUAAUUUUGAUAGAUUAAAAGGGUUUUAAUACCAUAGAUUUGAAUGUUU